AUUGAACGCUGGCGGCAGGCUUAACACAUGCAAGUCGAGCGGAGUGAUGGUGCUUGCACUAUGACUUAGCGGCGGACGGGUGAGUAAUGCUUAGGAAUCUGCCAUUUAGUGGGGGACAACAUUCCGAAAGGAAUGCUAAUACCGCAUACGUCCUACGGGAGAAAGCAGGGGAUCUUCGGACCUUGCGCUAAAUGAUGAGCCUAGGGCGGAUUAGCUAGUUGGUGGGGUAAAGGCCUACCAAGGCGACGAUCUGUAGCGGGUCUGAAAGGAUGAUCCGCCACACUGGGACUGGGAAACGGCCCAGACUCCUACGGGAGGCAGCAGUGGGGAAUAUUGGACAAUGGGCGGAAGCCUGAUCCAGCCAUGCCGCGUGUGUGAAGAAGGCCUUUUGGUUGUAAAGCACUUUAAGCGAGGAGGAGGCUACUAGUACUAAUACUACUGGAUAGUGGACGUUACUCGCAGAAUAAGCACCGGCUAACUCUGUGCCAGCAGCCGCCGUAAUAC
rnacentral:rRNA from 1 species